rnacentral:rRNA from 1 species
AUUGAACGCUGGCGGCAGGCCUAACACAUGCAAGUCGAACGGUAACAGGAAGAAGCUUGCUUCUUUGCUGACGAGUGGCGGACGGGUGAGUAAUGUCUGGGAAACUGCCUGAUGGAGGGGGUAAAUUCUUGGAAAGGGUAGUAAUAACCGAUAAACGUGGAAAGCCAAAAGGGGGGGACUUUGGGGCUCUUUGCAUCCGGUUGUGCCAGAUGGGAUUAGCUAGUAGGUGGGGUAACGGCUCACCUAGGCGACGAUCCCUAGCUGGUCUGAGAGGAUGACCAGCCACACUGGAACUGAGACACGGUCCAGACUCCUACGGGAGGCAGCAGUGGGGAAUAUUGCACAAUGGGCGCAAGCCUGAUGCAGCCAUGCCGCGUGUAUGAAGAAGGCCUUCGGGUUGUAAAGUACUUUCAGCGGGGAGGAAGGGAGUAAAGUUAAUACCUUUACUCAUUGACGUUACCCGCAGAAGAAGCACCGGCUAACUCCGUG